rnacentral:rRNA from 1 species
GACAGAGGGUGCAAACGUUGUUCGGAAUUACUGGGCGUAAAGCGUGUGUAGGCGGUCUCUUAAGUCGGAUGUGAAAGCCCCGGGCUCAACCCGGGAAGUGCACUCGAAACUGGGAGGCUAGAGUACUGGAGAGGUUGGUGGAAUUCUCGGUGUAGAGGUGAAAUUCGUAGAUAUCGAGAGGAACACCGGUGGCGAAGGCGGCCAACUGGACAGAUACUGACGCUGAGACACGAAAGCGUGGGGAGCAAACAGG